rnacentral:rRNA from 1 species
GUACGGGAGGCAGCAGUGGGGAAUUUUCCGCAAUGGGCGAAAGCCUGACGGAGCAAUACCGCGUGAGGGAGGAAGGCUCUUGGGUUGUAAACCUCUUUUGAUCGGGAAGAAGACAGUGACGGUACCGAUCGAAUCAGCAUCGGCUAACUCCGUGCCAGCAGCCGCGGUAAUACGGAGGAUGCAAGCGUUAUCCGGAUUUAUUGGGCGUAAAGCGUCCGCAGGUGGUUGAGCAAGUCUGCUGUCAAAGCGCGGAGCUUAACUCCGUAAAGGCAGUGGAAACUGUUUAACUUGAGUACGGUAGGGGUAGCGGGAAUUCCCAGUGUAGCGGUGAAAUGCGUAGAUAUUGGGAAGAACACCAGCGGCGAAAGCGCGCUACUGGGCCUGUACUGACACUGAGGGACGAAAGCUAGGGGAGCGAAAGGGAUUAGAUACCCCGGUAGG